UACGGAGGGUGCGAGCGUUGUCCGGAAUUAUUGGGCGUAAAGGGCUCGUAGGCGGUUUGUCGCGUCGGGAGUGAAAACUCAGGGCUUAACCCUGAGCCUGCUUCCGAUACGGGCAGACUAGAGGUAUGCAGGGGAGAACGGAAUUCCUGGUGUAGCGGUGAAAUGCGUAGAGAUCGUAAGGAAGACCAGUGGCGAAGGCGGGUCUCUGGACAGUUCCUGACACUGAGGCACGAAGGCCAGGGGAGCAAACGGG
rnacentral:rRNA from 1 species